AGCAGUUUUAAUCAACUGUUACCACUAGAUGAAUUCAUAGUCUAGUUGGAGGUAAACGCUGUGAACUGAAACAUCUCAUUAGCAGCAGGAAUAUAAAGAAAUUUCGAUUCCCUAAGUAGCGGCGAGCGAACGGGGAACAGCCCAAACCAAAGUGCUUGCACUUUGGGGUUGUAGGACUGAACAUUUGAGUUACCAAAGAACUUGAUAGUCGAAGGAUUUGGGAAAAUCCGCCAUAGAUGGUGAUAGCCCAGUAGAUUAAAUCAAAUUCUCUCAGUUCAGGAUCCUGAGUACGGCGGAACACGUGAAAUUCCGUCGGAAUCCGGGAGGACCAUCUCCCAAGGCUAAAUACUACCU
rnacentral:rRNA from 2 species